rnacentral:rRNA from 1 species
AUGGCGACCAAGAGGAGCGUGGGCACCCCUGGGCCACAAGGACCUCAGGAGCAGAAUGUGUUCCUUCGUGCCGAUCUGAACAUUCUGCUGGACGACGACCGGAACAUCACCGAGGACAACCGCAUCCGCGCCUCCGUGCCAUCCGUGCCGUUCCUCAAGUUCCUCAUGGGGAAGGCCACCAAGGUCAUCCUAGCCAACAAUCUGUGGCUCCUGCCGCUUGCCACUCCUCACUUGCCGGCCCGUUCGCCACUAGCCGUCGGCCCCUGCCCGCCCGCCUCUCCUGUGGUGCACGGUGCCCGACCCGGCUCUGUAUGUCCGCCUCCCUCGUGCUGCUCGUUGGUCGCCCCCAUCAUUCAGCCUCUUGUGUGGCGCACGGCUGUAUGCCUGUACCUGCUUGAUGUCGGGAGCAACACCACAGGAUGGCCGUGCCGCGCCUUCAUCUCAGACCUCACCGACUUAGGAUUGUAG